ACUCCUACGGGAGGCAGCAGUGGGGAAUAUUGCACAAUGGGGGAAACCCUGAUGCAGCCAUGCCGCGUGUGUGAAGAAGGCCUUCGGGUUGUAAAGCACUUUCAGUAGGGAGGAAGGUAGUGUAGUUAACACCUGCAUUAUUUGACGUUACCUACAGAAGAAGCACCGGCUAACUCCGUGCCAGCAGCCGCGGUAAUACGGAGGGUGCGAGCGUUAAUCGGAAUUACUGGGCGUAAAGCGCAUGCAGGCGGCCUGUUAAGUCAGAUGUGAAAGCCCGGGGCUUAACCUCGGAAUUGCAUUUGAAACUGGCAGGCUAGAGUCUUGUAGAGGGGGGUAGAAUUUCAGGUGUAGCGGUGAAAUGCGUAGAGAUCUGAAGGAAUACCAGUGGCGAAGGCGGCCCCCUGGACAAAGACUGACGCUCAGAUGCGAAAGCGUGGGGAGCAAACAGGAUUAGAUACCCCUGGUAGGAUAGCG
rnacentral:rRNA from 1 species